CGCAAAUAUUGGAUACAUCCCAUAAUAAAUGAGAGGAAAAAUAGAGGAUUUUUUUACACACUGUAUGACGAACUUAACGGAGAUCCAGAUAAAUUCUUUAAUUUUACCAGAAUGUCAAGAGGAACAUUCCAAGAAUUGUUGUCAAUAAUUAAAGAUUCAUGUUCAAAAAGAAAUACCACCAUGAGGGAAAGCAUACCAGUAGAAGAAAAGCUUCUUAUAACUUCAAGCAAAAUAGCAUUUGAAAUAAUUGGGUUAUAUCCGUAUCUUGGGAAUACGAGCUUCCAGGCGACAUCAAAGGGGAUUCAGUACUCUGCCGCUGAAUCCCAGAAGGCCCAGCUUGGGGCUCUUGUUGUGAAGGACUUUGGUUGAAGUCUAGAAGUCCGGAAGGUCCAGCAUGUGGAUUUAAAUAUUGCCAUUGAUGUAGUAUUCCAAAUUGGUGGCUUGGAGCCUGGGUGGGAAUUUGGUUAUACGGUAAUUGUGGUACCUAGCUACUGGCAAUUCAUUUGUCGAUUUGCACUAUGCUUUUAGAAUUGGAAAAUCCACAGCAAGUUUAGUCACCC